AAAGUCAACCGACGGGGACAAGGCAUACGCGCGACGGCGAGCCUUCAGCCUCGCCGUAUUUACGGCGCCGGUCCCGGGAGUCAACUGAAUGAGUAGAGGGAGUAGCGCGCGUGCUGCCUCGUGCUCCGGCCGGUCCACCUCAACGCCGGAGCUUGGAGCCUCGCCGCGCGAUCGCCGGCCUCGGUGCAGCUGCCACGAAUCGUCAGGAAAAGGAGCCAUCGUCGGCGGAUGCAGUAAUUGCUUCCGGGGAGAGUUACAGUGACCGUACGGCCGAUCGAACGCGGAGUCACCAAAAUCCAAACCUUCGUUCUCCUCCCCGUCUGCGUCG
rnacentral:lncRNA from 1 species